GUUUCCAUGGCAACUGGAGUAAUUUCGUUUUGGUGAUGGGGAGCAGUGGGCUCACAGCAGGCGGUGGGUGGGGGUGGGUGCUCUGGGGGUGAGCAGAGAGGGAUGGGGCUCCUCAUCUGUAGAACUGCCUUAUGUAGAUUUUAAAUCAGAAAGCAGCUCAUCCAUGGCUGUCACAUCUGUGCCAAUGAGAACGGAUUCUGAAACUUCUGCAUCAUCCCUAGGAACUGUUCCAUGUUUGUGUAUCUUUUCAAAGAAUUCUGCAUCCAGUAUUUCUGAUAGACAGUCCGUUUAACAGGUGAUAUAUAAGCAGGUUGCCCUCAGGCACUGGGGAGACCAGCCUGUAUGAAGAGGACAGGUGUCUGUGUGUGACUGUAGCAAUCAGAAUUUCAUCUGCUGGGUGCAAUUCAGUGAGUGUUGCAGAGCAGCUUUCCUCCUCAUC
rnacentral:lncRNA from 1 species